rnacentral:rRNA from 1 species
AACGAACGCUGGCGGCAUGCCUAACACAUGCAAGUCGAACGAGACCUUCGGGUCUAGUGGCGCACGGGUGCGUAACGCGUGGGAACCUGCCCUUAGGUUCGGAAUAACUCCUCGAAAGGGGUGCUAAUACCGGAUAAUGUCUUCGGACCAAAGAUUUAUCGCCUUUGGAUGGGCCCGCGUUGGAUUAGCUAGUUGGUAGGGUAAAAGCCUACCAAGGCGACGAUCCAUAGCUGGUCUGAAAGGAUGAUCAGCCACACUGGGACUGAGACACGGCCCAGACUCCUACGGGAGGCAGCAGUGGGGAAUAUUGUACAAUGGGCGAAAGCCUGAUCCAGCAAUGCCGCGGGAGUGAUGAAGGCCGUAGGGAUGUAAAGCUCUUUUACCCGGGAUGAUAAUGACAGUACCGGGAGAAUAAGCUCCGGCUAACUCCGUG